rnacentral:tRNA from 1 species
GGUCCCCAAGGGAAACAGCAUACAACGCACUCGUAAUGCGUAGGUCGGGGGUUCAAUUCCCUUCACCA